rnacentral:rRNA from 1 species
AACGUAGGACGCAAGCGUUAUCCGGAGUUACUGGGCGUAAAGCGCGGGCAGGCGGCUUCUUAAGUCUGAUGUGAAAGCGCCCGGCUUAACCGGGCGAGGCCAUUGGAAACUAGGGAGCUGGAGGGUAGAGGCAGGUGGAAUUCCGGGUGGAGUGGUGAAAUGCGUAGAGAUCCGGAGGAACACCAGAGGCGAAGGCGGCCUGCUGGGCUGCACCUGACGCUGAGCCGCGAAAGCCAGGGGAGCGAACGGG